UGAUGCAAUCUUGAUUGUUAUCAAUGUAAACCCAAUUGAAUAUGGCCAUGUCUUCCUGGCACCUCAUGGCUUCGACAGACUUGACCAGGUCCUGGAUGCAAGAUUCUUGGAAAUGGUUGUGAGGGUUGCUGUUGAGAUAAAUAAUUGUUCUUUCCGUUUAUUCUACAAUUGUCCCCGACAUUCACGUCUCUAUUUCCAGGCCUGCUACUUUCCAGAUCUUUUACCAGUGGAGCACAU
rnacentral:misc_RNA from 1 species